UUGAUUUGCGGGCUGUUUAAU
rnacentral:siRNA from 1 species